CCUACGGGUGGCAGCAGUAGGGAAUAUUGCUCAAUGGGGGAAACCCUGAAGCAGCAACGCCGCGUGGAGGAUGAAGGUUUUCGGAUUGUAAACUCCUUUUGUUAGAGAAGAUAAUGACGGUAUCUAACGAAUAAGCCCCGGCUAACUCCGUUCCAGCCGCCGCGGUAAUACGGAGGGUGCAAGCGUUACUCGGAAUCACUGGGCGUAAAGAGGGCGUAGGCGGGAUAGCAAGUCAGAUGUGAAAGCCUAGGGCGUAACCCUGGAACUGCAUUUGAAACUGUUAGUCUAGAGUAUGGGAGGGGUAGGUGGAAUUCUUGGUGUAGGGGUAAAAUCCGUAGAGAUCAAGAGGAAUACUCAUUGCGAAGGCGACCUGCUGGAACAUAACUGACGCUGAUGCGCGAAAGCGUGGGGAGCAAACAGGAUUAGAUACCCUUGUAGUC
rnacentral:rRNA from 1 species